GGCCUCGUAGCUCAGCCUGGAUAGAGCACUUGCCUUCUAAGCAAGGGGUCGCAGGUUCAAAUCCUGUCGAGGCCG
rnacentral:tRNA from 1 species